GCAAGUAUGCUGUAAUUGGUAGCCAGGCAGUACUUAGGAUACUGUGGUUUUGUCCGUGUGGGUUCGAGUCCCACUACUUGUA